rnacentral:sRNA from 18 species
AGCUGAUGCAUAUGGCGGUCACCUCCCAGUUCCGCCGCAUCAGCUGUUCCCCUCUGGAGGUUAGUUUGACCUUCACACUUCAUGGGCCGCGAUAUUCGCAGGCCCAUUUUU